rnacentral:rRNA from 1 species
CUCAAUGAACUUUAAAUAGCCGCAAUUAAACUGUGCUAAGGUAGCAUAAUCAUUUGUUUUUUAAUUUAAGACUAGAAUAAAAGAUUUAACAUUUAAUUAAUUUUUUUAAACUUAAUUAUUUAAUUUAUUCCAAAUAUAAAAAAAUAUUUAUAAAAAAAAAAGACAAUAAGACCCUAUUAAACUUCACUAUAGUUUAACUGGGGAAGUUAAUUAAUUAAUAUUUUAAUAUAUAUACUAAAAACUUUCCAAUAAAAUUGAAACAAAUAAGUUACUAUAGGGAUAACAGCGUAAUUUUUUUUAAAAGAUCUUAUUUAAAAACAAGUUUACGACCUCGAUGUUGAAUUAAUUUUCUUAAAAAUGCAAUUAUUUCAAAAGUAAGUCUGUUCGACUU